UACAUUGGGUGCAAACGUUGCUCGGAAUCAUUGGGCGUAAAGCGCGCGUAGGCGGUUAUUUAAGUUGGAUGUGAAAGCCCUCGGCUUAACUGAGGAAGUGCAUCCAAAACUGAAUAGCUAGAGUACGAAAGAGGGUCGCGGAAUUCCCGGUGUAGAGGUGAAAUUCGUAGAUAUCGGGAGGAACACCAGUGGCGAAGGCGGCGAUCUGGGCUGAUACUGACGCUGAGGUGCGAAAGCGUGGGGAGCAAACAGG
rnacentral:rRNA from 1 species